rnacentral:rRNA from 1 species
AUGCCUACGGGGCGCAGCAGUGAGGAAUAUUGGUCAAUGGGCGAGAGCCUGAACCAGCUAAGUUGCGUGAGGGAAGACUGCCCUAUGGGUUGUAAAACUCUUUUGUCAGGGAGCAACGCCGGCUACGUGUAGCCGGACUGAGAGUACCUGAAGAAAAAGCAUCGGCUAACUCCGUGCCAGCAGCCGCGGUAAUACGGAGGAUACGAGCGUUAUCCGGAUUUAUUGGGUUUAAAGGGUGCGUAGGCGGAAUGCCAAGUCAGCGGUAAAAUCGCGGGGCUCAACCUCGCUCCGCCGUUGAAACUGGC